GUUUUUCAGCAGCAGCCAGCUGCCCAUUAAGCCAUGCAUCCUGAGCUUGCUUUAACUCUGGGCAUUUGGAGGAAUCGAAGUACAACUGAGAAUUAAGCACAAGAAAGAAAACACCUCCAACCCAAAAGCUAAAGUAGUCAUCUCCCCAGCUCUUGCAAUAAUUAUCUAUUGUUUCUCUUGUUGGAGUAUUGCCAAUAUCAUGAUUUCCACUGACAAAUACCAAUGGGAUGUCCUGGUCAGUGUUUUUCAGAACAUUCUUUAAAUCUUGCUCUUGGUCCUUUCUCCACUGAGUUCCUGGCAUUCCAUGGAUAAGAUCUCCACACAACACAAAGAACUUGGGUUUGGGGUUUAGUUUGUUAAUGGCCUGCACUGCUUGCUCUGUUAAUUUGAUUUCUUCUCCCCAUUCGUCAUCUCCACUUCCUGUAUUGCCAACUGCCCAAGCUUUUAUUAGUCCAAACUGAGGAUCUGCUCCUUGGAUGAAGUAGAAAGGUCCCUUCCAUUGGUACUCAUCACCUUGGCGGAAGGCAGUCAGAGUCCUUCCCCGAGCUCUCCGGAACACGUCCCCAACCGCCGCCAUAACGCUCAUCGCCGCGAACCGUCGCCUCGUUCCAGACCGCCGAGAGAAAGGCACCGCCUCCCCUGGGGGCGGCACCUGGGCUCGAGGGAGGAUCCCGGGGAGGGGCGGGGGUCCGGCGGCGCGCGGCGCGGGAAGUGAGCGCUGAGGUGGUGCUUGGGGCGGCCAUGUUGGGCAGCAGGAGGUGGGCUGGUUCUGCUCAGCACUGCUGUGGCAUUUCGGUUGCAACAAACAAACAAAACCCGCCGAAAACCAGCCUGAUUUUCUUCAAAUUUUUCCUAGCCUGCAAACUGAAGCCUAAAAGCAUCAGGAAUUUUCCUUAGCACCUCGAAGGGAUGCUUUUCAGUUGAGGUUUCUACGGUCUUUUAGUUUUGCUCUAAAAGUUGCACAUAGAAUCAUGUUCCUGGCAGAACAGCCAUAACCCCAUUAUUCUGCACCACAUGACAUGCAGAGCUCGGAGUGUUGCUUUGUCCAGCUUGUGAAAUCUACAGCAAGGCACUGGAUAAGGUUGCUGUCACUCUAUAAUGUUUCUAUGAUUGGAUUAUUAUUCCAUGGGAGUAUUAUCCCUGAGUGAAGAGUGUUUCGGUGCCAGUUUGAUUCCAGUUUGUAAACUGCUUGAUGGUAACUAGAUACAAAGCACUAAAGGAGGUCUUUCUAUUAGGAAGUUUGACUCAGUUCCCCUUGUCAUGAGGCAACAUUUGGUAGAUUAAGCAAAUACAUUGUCAAUCUCAGGUGCAGUCUGUAUAAAUAUCCCAACACUGCCAUAGGAAUAUGUGAUUGUGGUCUAAUGCUGGAGCAGCUCCUGCUAAGAGGAGCAAUUGGUUCCCAUAAUUGCUGUAACAGGAGAGCAUUCCUAGUAGAUGUUAUCUUUUGGACGGCCUGGCAUCUGACACCCCUCCUAUUUUUCUCCCUCAAACAGCCAUAAUACAUUUCAUGUCUUUACAUCCAACUGACUGCCUAAUUCCAGUUUCCACAUGAAAAUGCUUAUCACAAAAUACUCUUCAUAUCAAUACUGCCAGAGAUCAGGCCCAUUUAGCUGCCUUUUCUGACAGAUAUUCUUGGCUAUGGAGAGCCUGUUAAUAAUGAUUGAAGUAUAUGACAUUUCUCUGGAAUUAAUGAUUGACUACAAGACUCCAGUGGCUCAGUGCUUGGCAAAGGACCGUUCUCUCUAGCAGGCAAUCUUUCCCUGGGAAAUACUCAGAGGUUGCAUGAAGAUUAUCAUUAUUGUUUACAAAAUGAAAUAGUGAAUUUUAAGCAUGAUCGUUGCAAUUGCUCUGUGUUUUCAUUGUUCAGUAUUCUUCAGAUUUAUCUCCACCUCAGUGUUUAGAUUAACAUGUUAUCUUUUUCUCUUAAUUUUACUCUUUGGAAAUCACUUAUUUACAUAAAAGCUUGCAAGAAUCAGUUCUAAUAUUCCACACAGGUAAACACAAAAUAUAUAAUACACACAUAUCUGUAAAAAGUAUGAGGGUGUAAUGUGUUCAUAUAACUUCCACUGAGAAAUGGCUAUACAACGCUAUGUAUGUCCCCCCCAAAACCUACUUUCUAGAUUAAAAUUGAACAAGCAGCAUUGCCAUUGAUCCACAUGUGAAAGUCUCAUUGAAAAGAGAGAAGUAUAAGAGGACUAACGUGCUUUGUAUUAAGGUCUGUGCCUACAGUUAAGUACUUAACUAAGUGGAUAUGUGCUUGAGUAAAGACAUGUUCUGUGGAUAGAAACUUCAUCUUCUCAAUUGUUCCAGAGGCAAAAUGCCUUAGUUAUGGGAUUAAACUAUAGAAAAAAAUAAGUAAUUAUUACUUACUUCAAUGCAAUGACAAAAGGGAUGUCUAGAAAACAGACAGUCUUGAUGCUAUAUUGUGAAAUCUCGUGUUUCUCAGCUUGAUAAAGACAACUGAAAUCAAAGUUUAUUUACAGUUUUAAUUGAAAAACUACUUUAGAAAAUCAUACAUGCCCCAGUACUGUAUGAAGAGCCUGUUUCUCUCAGUUUUAGUUUUGUUAUUUCCAUCGUUAUGCUCAGUGGUUAUAUAUUUUGAUCAUGUAGAUAUUUUGACAACUGCAUGCUAGGAAGGCAUUAUAACACACUGCAGCAGGCAAAAAAAAAAAAAGGGGGCUCACACUCUAGUCAAGAAUAAGUCUAGUUCACCCUUAAGACUCUAAGACAUAACACGGUGAAAAUAAGUUUACUGCUAAUAUUAUUAACAGGAACAUAGGGCAUAACUAGAGUAAUUUAUGAUUUAUUAGGGUAAUAUGAUGUAUGGGUUCUGAGUUCAAUAGGUCUUAAGGUGUCACAGGAAACACUGUUUUUCAAAGAGCUUUGAAUCACUCUCCUUUUUUUUUUCCUAGUUCUGAGCUCCGUUUCCUAGGACAUGCCAUUUAGAGUCAGAUCCUGAUCUCAAGGAACUGAGUCCAGCAGAUGUUAGAUUCUAGCCUAAAUACUUUGCCUUUGUUGCUGUUGUAAAAUGCUUAGGGAAAUCCCCAGGAACUUAGCAAAACAAGGGACUCAUACCAUAGGCAGUCAGGAUUGAUGGCCCACAAAAUAAAUCCUGUUUCGAUGCUAUUAUUUCUGCACAUGCAUAGCACUAAUCAGGCAAAAUAUGUAAGCACCUUUUCAGCAACAGGGAAACUUGUAUAAUCUUAUGUACUUGACAAGACUGGCCCUUAAAUGUCUACAGAUACAACAGUAAGUAUGAUUCACUUUUGUGCAGUACUUUCAGCACAAACUGCAUCACAAAGUGUUAAAUAAUAAAUAACAGCAGAGUGAAGUAUACACAAGAGAGGAAUGAUAUGAUUUCAGAGGAGACUUGAAAGGGGAUGUUGAUGAGGUGGAGGUUUUAAAAAUUAAAUAUUAACAAAAAGGUUGGUUUGGCUGAGACCAAUUGUUUUUCUCUGCUGAGGAAUAAAGGGGAUUUCUGACCUGCAGAAAGUCUUACUGCCAACCCGUUUGGUGGAAUCAUCACAAUGUACUUGGAGUCUAUUUUUAAGAGAAAGCAAAGGAUCACAAUUAGCUAACGACAGCCCUCUCCAAUUCCAAACGUCUGCUUUGUCCUCUGCCUCACCUCUCUGUUAUUUACUGCUUCACAACUCCACAUGAACCUGGCCCAAGUUCCUGGAGAGCAGUGGCCGCGCAGCCCCUCUCCCUGAGCUGAGGCCAUCCAGAUGUGUCCCUGAGGAGCAGGGAAGCUGCUUGUAACCCCGGCCCACACUGCUACAUUGCACCAUAACGGG
rnacentral:lncRNA from 1 species